rnacentral:rRNA from 1 species
GUUAAAAAGCUCGUAGUUGGAUUUCUGGGAGGGUGCCAAUGUCCGUCGUCGUACGUGUUGCAGCGGCGCCCUUCCAUCCUUCUGUUAACGACUUUGGGCAUUCAUUUGCUGGAGUCGGGCUCAGAUAUUUUACCUUGAGAAAAUUAGAGUGUUUCAUGCAGGCCAAGCCGGAAUACAUUAGCAUGGAAUAAUGGAAUAGGACUUCGGUCUCUUUGUUGGUUUGAGGGACUGCAGUAAUGAUUAAUAGGGAUAGUUGGGGGCAUUAGUAUUUAAUUGUCAGAGGUGGAAUUCUCGGAUUUGUUAAAGACUAACUUAUGCGAAAGCAUUUGCCAGGGAUGUUUUCAUUAAUCAAGAACGAAAGUUAGGGGAUCAAAGACGAAUCAGAUACCGUCCUAGUCUUAACCAUAAACUAUGCCGACUC